UUACUUUUGCCUGCAGAAAUUUCUGGGCCUCCACAUCCGGUGAAGAACGUGGAUUUCACAGAGGGCUAAAAUGUCAAAGGCUCUUGAAAGCUGGUCCAAUUUCCACUUUGCCAGACAUGAUGAUGAUGACUGAAGUGAGAACUAAUUUUGGAUAAUGAGCAGUCAGCAAGAACAGAGCCUCUUAGAGGCCUAAAAGAACACUUUGAAAGCAUCAGAUGUCAGAAUUUAUGAAAAAGGAGGAAUAAAUUAUGGUGGAAAAAUGAGGGAAAAUAAAUAGGAGAAUGGAAAAUCAGAAUGAAGUAGUGAGAAAAAGAAGACAUGUUGAUCCUAAAUUACUUCACACUAGGAGGAUCUGACGUGGAUGGGGAUCAAUGGACACAUCAAUAAGAAAAAAACACUGAGCAGUAUAAUGUCUGGAGGCGAUGAUACCUUGGAGAGCAGCAUCCUGCAUAACCCAACCUUUCUUCCUUCUUGAACUCUGCAGACUUCCAUCCAUUGCAGAGCCAAUGGGGGGUGACUCCAACCCAUCCUCCAGUAUUGUACAGAAAGAUCCUUACAUGAAUGAUCCACAAGAAGAUCCAUUACCAUAACUGGACCCCAUGGCUUAUAUUUUGAAAGAGUGACUAGUAAUUUUGGGUGCCUAACUGAAGACCUGGUAAAGGGGUAUGACUUUUCAGAGGUUUUGAGCAUCCAGAAUCACUAGUCACUUUUUUUAAAAUGUAGGUUCAUAAGUCUGUUCUGUAGUUACAAGGACUCUCUUUUUUUAUUAUGUCCCCUGCUGUCAUUAUUAAUCUCUUGAAAUAUCAUCUUCCUGAAACCAUGUUCACCGGUUAUAACCAUACACCAUAAAAAAUGUUUGUAUGUAUUUGUAUCUUUGUACAAUAGCCAUACCCUCCAAAAGCUAUUAACUGUCUAAGACAAUGUAAUGAAAAGGUGCAAAGGGAACCUCCAGGGAAAUCGACUAUUAUUUGCAGAACUAGAAAGCAUUUUCAUGUGAGUGUGCGCUAAUUAUGCAAGAUUCAUCAGGUCAGUGUUCUUUAAAGCUUGCUUUUCCAAGUCUGAUUUUCGUAAAAAGAUGGAAUGUGGGGAAGGAUUCUUAUUUAUUUAUUUGGUGUCAGAUAUUUAAUUAUAAACUUGUACCUUCAAAGCCCACAAAACUUGAUAAUGUUAGACCAGGAAGUGGACUGUGAUAAAGGUAUUUCAUCAACCAAUCAAUUUUUCUGCAUAACUAUUUUGAUUAUUUUAAGUAUUACAUCAAGAUUACAAAUGUGGCUGUCAUAGCAUGGUAUGUAAUAAAAAGGUUAUUGUGAAUUACUCUUCUCUUUAUACUGAAGAAUGAUUGACUUCAUCAGAAGAUUGCAAAAUAAAAUAAUUGAACAUAGAUGUAAGUCAACAAUGUUCACUUGUGUGGAACCAAUACUUUAUACUAUAUCAAAGAACUAUGAAUUAUAGAGAGGCCCAAGCUAGAAUCCUUGAUUUACACACCCUAAGGAUUUGAAUAUUUCAGAUUCAAAUGUAGAUCUGAAAUUUGUUGCUGGAUAACAAGGUAACCCAAUGUUCCUUAUACAAAAUUAAGAUUGUUUGGGUGACCUUACUUAUUCUGUGUGUUCAUACAGGCAGAACCAAAUUUGUAUUUUCAGCCUAGAUUAUUUUUAUUUCAUAUUAAAGAAAAUCAACAAUAAAUGAAGAGACCCUUUUUCUCCAUGA